rnacentral:rRNA from 1 species
GACGAAGGGGGCAAGCGUUGCUCGGAAUUACUGGGCGUAAAGGGCGCGUAGGCGGGAUGGCAAGUCGGUCGUGAAAUCCUUCGGCUCAACCGAAGAACGUCGAUCGAUACUGCUGUUCUUGAGGGUUGCAGAGGAGACUGGAAUUCCCGGUGUAGCGGUGAAAUGUGUAGAGAUCGGGAGGAACACCGGUGGCGAAGGCAGGUCUCUGGGCUGACACUGACGCUGAGUGAGCGAAAGCCAGGGGAGCAAACGGG